GUCCUACGGGGGGCUGCAGUGGGGAAUAUUGCACAAUGGGGGAAACCCUGAUGCAGCCAUGCCGCGUGUGUGAAGAAGGCCUUCGGGUUGUAAAGCACUUUCAGCGAGGAGGAAAGGUCAGUAGCUAAUAUCUGCUGGCUGUGACGUUACUCGCAGAAGAAGCACCGGCUAACUCCGUGCCAGCAGCCGCGGUAAUACGGAGGGUGCAAGCGUUAAUCGGAAUUACUGGGCGUAAAGCGCACGCAGGCGGUUGGAUAAGUUAGAUGUGAAAGCCCCGGGCUCAACCUGGGAAUUGCAUUUAAAACUGUCCAGCUAGAGUCUUGUAGAGGGGGGUAGAAUUCCAGGUGUAGCGGUGAAAUGCGUAGAGAUCUGGAGGAAUACCGGUGGCGAAGGCGGCCCCCUGGACAAAGACUGACGCUCAGGUGCGAAAGCGUGGGGAGCAAACAGGAUUAGAUACCCCAGUAGUC
rnacentral:rRNA from 1 species